CGCGUAGGCGGUUUGUUAAGUUGGAUGUGAAAGCCCCGGGCUCAACCUGGGAAUUGCACCCGAUACUGGCCGACUAGAGUACGAGAGAGGGAGGUAGAAUUCCACGUGUAGCGGUGAAAUGCGUAGAUAUGUGGAGGAAUACCGGUGGCGAAGGCGGCCUCCUGGCUCGAUACUGACGCUGAGGUGCGAAAGCGUGGGGAGCAAACA
rnacentral:rRNA from 1 species